UACGGAGGGUGCAAGCGUUAAUCGGAAUAACUGGGCGUAAAGCGCACGCAGGCGGUUGGAUAAGUCAGAUGUGAAAGCCCCGGGCUCAACCUGGGAACUGCAUUUGAAACUGUCUGACUAGAGUCUUGUAGAGGGGGGUAGAAUUCCAGGUGUAGCGGUGAAAUGCGUAGAGAUCUGGAGGAAUACCGGUGGCGAAGGCGGCCCCCUGGACAAAGACUGACGCUCAGGUGCGAAAGCGUGGGGAGCAAACAGG
rnacentral:rRNA from 1 species